CGUCGAGGCUGCACACAGAGAAUCAGGCUCUCUGUGCCCCUAUGUUGGAUACGCAGCUUCACACACAGAGGUAUCCCCAUAGAAGCCAAGACUUUCCUCACAGACUGAGGUUCACUAGAGCUCUCUUACAGAGCAUAGACCUGUCCAUGUGGUUUUGCCUUCCCCUGUGAGUUGGGUCCCCGAGGUCCGACCCAGCUCCGGGGCAAGAGACCGAGAAAAGUUCUCCAGGAACCGCUUUUCGCCCAGGCUGGAAAACGCUGUGCACAGGAAGUAAGGCAAGCCAGCCUCCUGCAGGGAAAAAGAGGCCUUACUCUGCCUUGAGGAGCAGGCUGCCAGAGUGUGUGAGAGCUGACUUGUGCCUUACUGGCCUCUGGUCCGCCAUUGCCUGUUCAACAAUGCUAGGGCCCAGGCCUUCUUAGAGAAGGGUUUGGGUGCGGAUUUCUACAAACUGCCAAGGGCUACAGCAAUGAGAAUUCUCUCGGCGGUAAGGAAGAGCAUUGUAUGGAUUCUCCAGCUGUUUUCUGAACGACAGCGUCAAAGCUACACAGAGAGAAUCAGGCUCUCUGUGCCCCUAUGUUGGGUACGCAGCUUCUCACACAGAGGAGUCUCUAUAGGAGCCAAGAAAGUCCCUGAGAGAUGAGGUUCACUAGAGCUCUGCUACAGAGCAUAGACCUGUACAUGCCGUUUUGCCUUCCCCUGUGAGUUGGGUCCCCGAGGUCCGAUUCAGCUCCGGGGAAACAGCCCCUGACAAAAGGUCUCCAGGAACUGAUUUUCGUCCAGGCUGGGAAAUGAAGUUCACAGGAGGCAAGGCAAACGAGCCUCCUGCAGGGAAAAAGAGGCCUUACUGUCCCUGGACGAGCAGGCUGCCAGAGUGUGUGAGACCUGCCUUGUGCCUUAGUGGCCUCAGCUCUGCCAUUGCAUGUUCAUCCUAACGAGGACCGAGGACUAUUUGGAGAAGGGUUUGGGUGUGGAUUUCUACAAACUGCCAAGGGCUACAGUAAUGAGAUCUCUG
ensembl:lncRNA